AGGUAGCUUGGAGACUGUUUCUUUCAACAGAAACUCUCUUGAAUUGCUGAUGGACUGCAAGAGGAGUGUGAUCUGUUUAGCAUGGAGCCAGUAACUUUAAGUUGCAGUUCAUCACCCGGCCAAGAUAAACACCAUUUUUAACUGUAGUUGUGCUUAAUAACUUCAGUACGGUCAAAACAUGAGGGAGUAAAAAUGCUCAAAAGAAAAAGGAAAGCGACAACUGAAAAGAAAAAUUCACCAGUAUCAGUGAUGGAUGGAUGAAGCCGGGUAAAUAUAUUUUGCUUAUUAGUCUGGUUAAUUUAUAAG